rnacentral:rRNA from 1 species
UGGGGAAUUUUGGACAAUGGGCGCAAGCCUGAUCCAGCAAUGCCGCGUGCAGGAUGAAGGCCUUCGGGUUGUAAACUGCUUUUGUACGGAACGGAACGGUUCUUUCUAAUACAGAGAGCUAAUGACGGUACCGUAAGAAUAAGCACCGGCUAACUACGUGCCAGCAGCCGCGGUAAUACGUAGGGUGCGAGCGUUAAUCGGAAUUACUGGGCGUAAAGCGUGCGCAGGCGGUUUUGUAAGACAGGUGUGAAAACCCCGGGCUUAACCUGGGAACUGCAUUUGUGACUGCAAGGCUAGAGUACGGUAGAGGGGGAUGGAAUUCCGCGUGUAGCAGUGAAAUGCGUAGAUAUGCGGAGGAACACCGAUGGCGAAGGCAAUCCCCUGGACCUGUACUGACGCUCAUGCACGAAAGCGUGGGGAGCAAACAGGAUUAGAUACCCUGGUAGUCCACGCCCUAAACGAUGUCUACUAGUUGUCGGGUCUUAAUUGACUUGGUAACGCAGCUAACGCGUGAAGUAGACCGCCUGGGGAGUACGGCCGCAAGAUUG